UACGGAGGGUGCAAGCGUUAUCCGGAUUCACUGGGUUUAAAGGGUGCGUAGGCGGCCAACUAAGUCGGAUGUGAAAUCCCCAGGCUUAACCUGGGAACUGCAUCCGAUACUGGAUGGCUUGAAUCCGGGAGAGGGAUGCAGAAUUCCAGGUGUAGCGGUGAAAUGCGUAGAUAUCUGGAGGAAUACCGGUGGCGAAGGCGGCAUCCUGGACCGGCAUUGACGCUGAGGAGCGAAAGCUAGGGGAGCAAACGGG
rnacentral:rRNA from 1 species